GGGUGAUGAAGCUCAGUGGUAGAGCAUUUUAAUGCUGAUGAAAGGGUUGCAGGUAUAAAUCCUGUGGCACCCU